UACGAGGGGGGCAAAUGUUGUUCGGAAUCACUGGGCGUAAAGGGCGCGUAGGCGGGUUUCUAAGUCAGGUGUUUAAUCCCGGGGCCCAACCCCGGACAGGCACUUGAAACUGGAAAUCUUGAAUAGUGGAGAGGUCAGUGGAAUUGGGGGUGUAGCGGUGGAAUGCGUAGAUAUCCGGAGGAACACCAGUGGCGAAAGCGGCCACCUGGACUGCACCUGACGCUGACACGCGAAAGCUAGGGGAGCGAACGGG
rnacentral:rRNA from 1 species